rnacentral:lncRNA from 1 species
AUGGCAGAGGUGCCCAAGGAAGCCUGAGGCUGCUCUCCCAGUCAUGACAAGGGCAGAGAGGACCACAAGCCCAUCCCUUCCCUGAGAGGCCCUUCUGCUGCCACUGUCCCAUGCCCCCGUGUCAACCCCAGGCUGAACCCCAGGCCCUGGGCUGGCCCACAGCCCCCAGCCUCACAGUUGCCACCACCAACAAAUCAGAGCUGCCCAGCAAGAUCAGGAAGUGUGGGGAGGCAGCCUCCAGCUCUGGUGCAGGGCUGCAGGGGCAGGCAGGCUGUGAAGUGCCCAAGGCACUGGCACCGUGGGAGAGAGGGGGGCAGCUGAGCACCCAAGAGUGCUCCUGGCAAGUGCAUGACUGGCUGUCGGAGUUCUGCUGCAGCUAUGUCACCUGGUGCAGUGGCCCAGCCACCUUCCCUGCCUGCUGCAGGCCCCAACCAUUCCCACAGAGCUUCCCUUCGGGCAGUGCCACCAUCCCUGCACAUGGGCUAUUAUAAACCCUUCUACUUCCAGUCUACUGUACCGGGCCUGACCUGGGGACAGCUGCUGGCAUCAGCACCCCUGCUCCAGUUGCAGGCCUGGGACCCUGGGCUCCUCAUGUGUAGCCAUCAGUCCAGGCCACUCCAGUGAUGAAGGGAGGAUCUACAGCCCCUUUGAGAAGCCCAAGUGACCCUCGGUGACAGGCAGGCAGAGAAUACAUUAUUCCAUCCUUGGGCCACAGAUUUAUGACAGAGAAGAUGGAUUUCUUUAUUCUUUCCUUUGUGAAAACAACAAUUGUCUUAAGCAUUAUGCACCUCAGUGGGAUAAAUGAUAUCUCUAAGUUUGCUAUGCAUUAUAUAAUGGAAGAAAUAGAUGAAGACAGAUCAAUGGAAGACUUGCAGAAAAUAAUGGUUGUGGCUCUUAUAUACAGAUUAUUUGUUUGUUUUAUGAGAUAAUUUGCAUUUGGGGAGCAGGUGGAUCUACCCCAGGGAAGUUCCUGCUGGGGCUUCGAGUUGUGACAUGUGAUAUAUUAGUAGUGCUUAUUGCACCAAGUCAGGUUUUAGUGAUUCCUUCCUCAACUGUUAGCAUUACAAUGUCUGCUAUAUGAGCUUUGAUCAAAAAUUUUUGUAUAGCUUCUUUUUUCCCUGAUUGCAUCACACUGCUGUUUUUUCCGCAUAAUUGAAUAGCCUAUGACAUUGUAGCAGGAACCAUUGUGGUAAAAAGAAAUGGGGUCAGAUGA